GACGAACGCUGGCGGCGUGCUUAACACAUGCAAGUCGAACGGAAAGGCCCUGCUUGUGUGGGGUGCUCGAGUGGCGAACGGGUGAGUAACACGUGAGUAACCUGCCCUGGACUUUGGGAUAACUUCAGGAAACUGGGGCUAAUACCGGAUAGGAGCUCCUGCUGCAUGGUGGGGGUUGGAAAGUUUCGGCGGUUGGGGAUGGACUCGCGGCUUAUCAGCUUGUUGGUGGGGUAGUGGCUUACCAAGGCUUUGACGGGUAGCCGGCCUGAGAGGGUGACCGGCCACAUUGGGCCUGCGAUACGGCCCAGACUCCUACGGGAGGCAGCAGUGGGGAAUAUUGCACAAUGGGCGGAAGCCUGAUGCAGCAACGCCGCGUGCGGGAUGACGGCCUUCGGGUUGUAAACCGCUUUCGCCUGUGACGAAGCGUGAGUGACGGUAAUGGGUAAAGAAGCACCGGCUAACUACGUG
rnacentral:rRNA from 1 species